CGGCGGGAGGCGGGGCCGCGAGCCAGGCGCGUCCCAGGACCUGCAGUCGGAGACCCAGGCCGGCCGCCGGGGCGCCGGGCGGAGCUCACAGAUUGAGCCAAAGCCACUGACCCUGGGGAUGCUCAUGGGGAGGGAACCCUGGAGCCAGCCCACCCGUGUGAAAAUCCUGCCUCUGCCACUGUCUGCUUGACCUUGGUUGCAUCACUGAGAAGGGAGCUGCCAUAGACCGCUCAAGGAAGAGGAAGGCCAUGCCUGGAAUACAGACUGCAAUCCCGCACUCCUGCUGCCGUGGGUAGUGGAGGAAGAUGCUGUGGAAGAUGUUGCGAGGCCGGAAGACCUCCUUGGGGAAGACGUCAAGGAGCAGGUUGUAGACAGACAGGUCCCGCUCGACGCCGUACUCGCGCAUCUUGCGCAGGGCCAGGUAGAUGAAGUCCACGUGGCCACGCUUGUGCACGUUGUACUCGGCAAAGUUCUGCACCGCCCGCACGAAGUUCGCCUUGUCUCGUGUCCCAUCCAGCGCCGGCCUAAACAGCUCUUCGUGGACUGCCAGGGCCUUGACGGGCCGCCUGGGGGGCUCGGGUGGGCGUGGGACCAGCGACGAGUCAGGGUUGUGGGCGGCUGCACUGCAGCGGAGGCCCCGUGGGGCCUGGGGUGGCACCUGCAGACGGAGAACCACCGCUGGAACCUGGCGCCUCCUGGUGCCCCUGGAGGACUGCCCAGCCGGCUCUUUGCUAGGAGAGGUGCCAGCGGGCAUCCCUAAUGGCCUCUGAAGAACUGUGGUGCCCUGGUUACAGACCCAUGACCAGGCGCCAUCACAGAGUUAUCAGUUACCAUAGCCAGAUAGCUAUGGUAACAUCCCCGUGGAGGCAGUGUUCACCACGGAGAGGAACAAACACCCUCUGACACAGCAGUCUUGCAUCUGGUAUUUAAAUACGACCGCUCUAAACAUAUCUGCCUCAGAUGACAUUUGUGCAUCGGCUGCAUCAGUAGAAAUGGGCCAAAGGUGCAUCAGCAAGGAAAAAAUUAAGUGUCCUUGCUGAACCUCGAGUGCAAAGGUGAGUAGAAGUGGCCAGAGUGCACGUCCUUGUCUUGUUCCUGGUCUUAGGGGGAAAGCAUCCAGUCUUUCAUCAUUAACUAUGAUGUCAGCCAUUGGAUUGUCCACAGAUGACCUAUUGGGUUGAGGAUAUUCCUUUCUAUUACUAGACGCUGAGUAUUUUUAUCAGAAAGGGCAUUCAUUAUAUUUUGUCAAAUGAUUUUUUUUUGGCAUCUAUUGAACUCACGUGAAUUUUGUCCUUUAGUCUAUUAAUAUCAUGUAUUACAUUAAUUUUCAACUGUUAAAUUCAUAUUGCAUUUCUCUGAUAAAGUCCACUUGGUCAUGCUGUUUAAUUCUUUUUAUUUGCUGCUAGAUUGGGAUGCAAGUAUUUUGUUGAGGACUUUUGCAUCCAUAUUCAUAAGAGAACCUGGGCUAGAGUUUUCAUUUCAUGUCAUAUCUGUUUGCUUUGGUAUCAGGGUAAUGCUGGCCUCAUAAAAUGAGCUGGGAAGUAUUUGGCUCACU